AUUUUGAAUUUAACUUUUAAGUGAAAAGGCUUAAAUAUACUAAAGGGACGAUAAGACCCUAUAAAACUUUACAUUGUAAUUAUAUUUUAGUAAAUUUAUAAAUAAAGAUUAAAUUUGAUUAUUUGUUAGGCUGGGGAGGUACGAAUAAAUAUUAUUUUAACUGUUUGAUGAUUAUACAAUUAUUAGUGGGUAAGUAAAAGAUCCUUAUUUCAAGAUUAAUAGAUUAAGUUACUUUAGGGAUAACAGCGUAAUUUCUUUUGAGAGUUCUUAUCGAAAGAGAAGAUUGCGACCUCGAUGUUGAAUUAAAAUAUUCUAUAUAAUGAAGAGGUUAUAUAAGAAGGUCUGUUCGACCUUAAAAUUUACAGAUGAGU
rnacentral:rRNA from 1 species